UUCCCGGUUGAUCCUGCCGGGAGGCCACUGCUAUUGGAGUUCGAUUAAGCCAUGCGAGUUCAGGGGGGCUUUGCCCACCAGCGGACGGUUCAGUAACACGUGGACAACCUACCCUCAGGAGGGGGAUAACCCUUGGAAACAGGGGCUAAACCCCCAUAGAUCAUGGAUGCUGGAAUGCACCGUGGUUAAAAUUCCUUCGGGAGCCUGAGGAUGGGUCUGCGGCCUAUCAGGUUGUAGUGGGGGUAAUGGCCCCACUAGCCUAUGACGGGUACGGGCCCUGAGAGGGGGAGCCCGGAGAUGGACUCUGAGACACGAGUCCAGGCCCUACGGGGCGCAGCAGGCGCGAAACCUUCGCAAUGCAGGCAACUGCGACGAGGGGACUCCAAGUGCCUACGCUCAGCGUAGGCUGUUCUUGAGCAUAGAAAGCUUGAGGAGUAAGAGCUGGGUAAGACGGGUGCCAGCCGCCGCGGUAAUACCCGCAGCUCAAGUGGUGGCCACUUUUAUUGGGCCUAAAGCGUCCGUAGCCGGUUUGGUAAAUGCCUGGGUAAAUCGUGGAGCCUAACUUCACGAAUUUCGGGUAGACUGCCAGACUUGGGACCGGAAGAGGAAGAGGGUACUUCAGGGGUAGGAGUGAAAUCCUGUAAUCCCUGGAGGACCACCCGUGGCGAAGGCGCUCUUCUAACACGGGUCCGACGGUGAGGGACGAAAGCCAGGGGAGCAAACCGGAUUAGAUACCCGGGUAGUCCUGGCCGUAAACGAUGUGGACUUGGUAUGUGGAUGGUCAUGAGCUGUCCAAGUGCCGUAGGGAAGCCGUUAAGUCCACCGCCUGGGGAGUAUGGUCGCAAGGCUGAAACUUAAAGGAAUUGGCGGGGGAGCACUGCAACGGGAGGAGCGUGCGGUUUAAUUGGAUUCAACGCCGGAAAACUCACCGGGGGAGACUGCCGCAUGUGAGCCAGGCUGAAGACCUUGCUCGAAUAAUAGGUAGAGAGGUGGUGCAUGGCCGCCGUCAGCUCGUACCGUAAGGCGUUCUGUUAAGUCAGGUAACGAGCGAGACCCAG
rnacentral:rRNA from 1 species